AUUUUAAGAAUUACUCCCUCUUAAUAUGCUCCCCUUUCAAAAAUACUUUAUGCCAUAUUUAAAAUUUGAGAAGACACAUAAGGAAGAUUUUAACUCAAUGAAAUGAGAUGCAAUGGAUCCUAUAUGAAUGAAUGAGCCUAUGAAAAAAAAAAUGCAUCUCAAGAAGAGUUAUAAUCAUACAUAAUAUUCAUACUUCAAGAGAGUCAAAAUAUGUUUAAUCCAAAAGAGUCAAAUAAAUAUCAAGGUAUCAACAAAGUACUCUAUCAACAAAAUACUCCAUAAACA
rnacentral:lncRNA from 1 species